AGAGUUUGAUCCUGGCUCAGAGCGAACGCUGGCGGCGUGCUUAACACAUGCAAGUCGAGCGAGAAAGAGGGCUUCGGCCCUUGAGUACAGCGGCGAACGGGUGAGUAACACGUGGGUAAUCUGCCCUUGAGACGGGGAUAACCCGGGGAAACCCGGGCUAAUACCGGAUAAGACCACAGAAGGCAACUUCAGGGGUCAAAGUGAGCUUUCUUCGGGAAGCGCUCGUUUAAGGAGGAGCCCGCGUCCUAUCAGCUUGUUGGUGGGGUAAAAGCCUACCAAGGCGAAGACGGGUAGCUGGUCUGAGAGGAUGAUCAGCCACACAGGGACUGAGACACGGCCCUGACUCCUACGGGAGGCAGCAGUCUAGAAAUUUGCACAAUCGCCGAAAGGCGGAUGCAGCGACACCACGUGGAGGAUGAAGCCCCUCGGGGUGUAAACUCCUGUCAGAAGGGAAGAAGGCGCGGGCGUUAAUACCGCUCGUUGCUUGACGGUACCUUCAGAGGAAGCUCCGGCUAACUACGUGCCAGCAGCCGCGGUAAUACGUAGGGAGCGAGCGUUGUUCGGAUUUACUGGGCGUAAAGGGCAUGUAGGCGGGUAUGCAAGUCGGUUGUGAAAUCCUCUGGCUCAACCAGAGAACUGCAGCCGAAACUGCACACCUUGAGUCCAGCAGAGGGAAUCGGAAUCCCAGGUGUAGCGGUGAAAUGCGUAGAUAUCUGGGAGAACAUCAGUGGCGAAGGCGGAUUCCUGGGCUGGUACUGACGCUGAGGUGCGAAAGCUAAGGGAGCGAACAGGAUUAGAUACCCUGGUAGUCUUAGCCGUAAACGAUGGGUACUAGGUGUUGGGGGACAUUGACCCCCUCAGUGCCGUAGCUAACGCAUUAAGUACCCCGCCUGGGGAGUACGGCCGCAAGGCUGAAACUCAAAGGAAUUGACGGGGACCCGCACAAGCAGUGGAGCAUGUUGCUUAAUUCGAUGCAACGCGAAGAACCUUACCAGGGUUUGACAUCCGAGGAACUUCUUGGAAACAGGAGGGUGCCUUCGGGAACCUCGAGACAGGUGCUGCAUGGCUGUCGUCAGCUCGUG
rnacentral:rRNA from 1 species